AUGGACCCCAGAACUGUCUGGUUCGUGGCCGUUUGUCUCCUGGGGGUGACCACGAGCACCAGAGUCACACAAACCCCCAGAUACCUAUUGUCCCGGAAGGGGGAGAACGUGACGCUGAAGUGUGCCCCCAUGUCUGGGCACCUCACUGCGUACUGGUACCGUCAGGACUCGGGACAAGGCCCCCAGAUGCUCUUCUCCUUCUACAAUAAGGAAGAGCGAGAUAAAGGAGACGUUCCCAAGAGAUUCACCGCUGAGCAGCCGGACGCCUCUGACUGGCGCCUCACGGUGAGCGUGCUGGCCCCGGAGGACUCCGCGGUGUACCUCUGCGCCAGCAGCAAGGACACGGCGCUGCGGGGCCCGGCCCGCCCCGGGCCCUCAGAAUCUGUGGGAGGAGCCAGUUCCCUUAAGAACAGUGACCUGAACACAUAA